rnacentral:rRNA from 1 species
AAAACAUGUUUGUUUGAAGGUUUAGAUAGUCUGACCUGCUCACUGACAAUUAGUUUAAGAGCCGCGGUAAUUUGACCGUGCAAAGGUAGCAUAAUCAUUAGUUCUUUAAUUGAGAACUUGUAUGAAGGGUUUGACAAGGGAAAUACUGUCUUUAUUAUAAAUGUUGAAGUUAACUUUUAAGUGAAAAGGCUUAAAUAAUUCAGAGGGACGAUAAGACCCUAUAAAGUUUUAUAUAAUUAAUAAAAUUGAAUUAAAAUUUUUUAUAUAAAUAUUAGAUUAUUUAUUAUAUUUUAUUGGGGCGAUAAAGAUAUAAGUAAUAUUAACUGUUUAUAUUUUAUACACGGAUAAGUGAAGUCAGAAGGCUAUUAAUUGAUCCUUAAGAGUUAAGAUUAAAAGACUAAAUUACUUUAGGGAUAACAGCGUAAUUUUCUUUGAGAGUUCAUAUCGAAAAGAAAGAUUGCGACCUCGAUGUUGAAUUAAAAUAUCUUUAUGGAGCAGAAUUUAUAAAAGAGGGUCUGUUCGACCUUUAAAUUUUUACAUGA